GAACACAAAUCAAUAGAUUAAAAAUCGUGUUGGUGAACACGAAAUGCCGUGAGACUGGGUUGUAAUGUUUUGGUUUAUGAGUUCACCACACUGAUGUAGCCAGAAACAUUAGGAUGCUAAGUGAAUGGGAAAGUGUGUCUCAAACUUUUUACUGGAGCUGUAUGUAUUUAGGUUUACCACCACAUUAAGACUUGUUUUAUUCUGUGAAUGCACGUCCAGCUCCUCCACUGCAGUAUCAAAAAGGUUAUUGCGUUUAGACAGUAACCUUUCCCUAGCCUGUAAGCACAUGAGAACAGUCGCAGCUGCCUGUAAUGAAGGCAAACAGUGUAUCACAUUGUUUCCUGCAGCUUAAUCUGUGAUUCUUACAGAGGUGGUGGUGUGUGCAGCAGCAGCACAGGUAACGGUCCAAGACAGGAGAAAACAGGUUGGUAGAAAACGAGUUGUAAAGCAAAGUUAUUUAUAUUUACCUUUGCAAGACGACUAUGUGCCUUUUUCAAAAAUACACUACAUCUUGAUAUGGUUACAUUGUUUUGAUUGCAGUGGUAUAUGGAACUGGACAGUUCUGUUUUAAGGUUGUGGAGAGCAGUGUGAGGAGAGGUUGACACUGAGUGGUCCUGUGAGUCAGGAACAACUGGCUGGAAAUGAAUACUUGCACAUGGUCAAGGACCUUGCAGAGAUGAGGCAUGAUGGACUGGAAGGGUUGCCAGGCAGUAUUGGGCUUGAACGCAGGGUGCCAUUUUGUGUUAGCGGACAGAAACCGAGAUAUUACUCGAACAUUUCCUGGGACAGUGCCCUGACAGCCAGCACCCAGAUUACAUUUCUUUAGUUGGACCUUCUUUUUAUUUGUGACGCCCCUCACAUUUAUGUUACAGCCAGUGGGGUAGUGGGGAUUUUUUUACUGGGGGGACGCUAUUUUAAUUAGGUCAUCCCAAACAAUGCCACACAAGUGCGCAUGCGCGCAGUGCACUCACAAAACGGGCAGACAGGUCCACAGAAAC